rnacentral:rRNA from 1 species
CAGCAGCCGCGGGAAUACGGAGGAUCCAAGCGUUAUCCGGAUUUAUUGGGUUUAAAGGGUGCGUAGGUGGCCUGUUAAGUCAGGGGUGAAAGACGGUAGCUCAACUAUCGCAGUGCCUUUGAUACUGACGGGCUUGAAUGAACUAGAGGUAGGCGGAAUGUGACAAGUAGCGGUGAAAUGCAUAGAUAUGUCACAGAACACCAAUUGCGAAGGCAGCUUACUAUGGUUUUAUUGACACUGAGGCACGAAAGCGUGGGGAUCAAACAGGAUUAGAUACCCCCGUAGUCCCUGUCUCUUAUAC